rnacentral:rRNA from 1 species
CCUACGGGAGGCAGCAGUGAGGAAUAUUGGUCAAUGGACGAGAGUCUGAACCAGCCAAGUAGCGUGAAGGAUGACUGCCCUAUGGGUUGUAAACUUCUUUUAUAAAGGAAUAAAACGAGGCACGUGUGCCUUUUUGCAUGUACUUUAUGAAUAAGGACCGGCUAACUCCGUGCCAGCAGCCGCGGUAAUACGGAGGAUCCGAGCGUUAUCCGGAUUUAUUGGGUUUAAAGGGAGCGUAGAUGGGUUGUUAAGUCAGUUGUGAAAGUUUGCGGCUCAACCGUAAAAUUGCAAUUGAUACUGGUAGUCUUGAGUGCAGUUGAGGUAGGCGGAAUUCGUGGUGUAGCGGUGAAAUGCUUAGAGAUCACGAAGAACCCCGAUUGCGAAGGCAGCUUACUAAACUGUGACUGACAUUGAUGCUCGAAAGUGUGGGUAUCAAACAGGAUUAGAUACCCGGGUAGUC